AAAAUACAAUUCUAUUCAAAUUUAACCAAGGGUAAAAAUGUUCGAUUUAUUUGCAGUGUCAGAUAUAUUUGUAUUGGUUGAAUUAAGAUAUAGAAAUUUUACAAUGACAGAUGAUAUGCACCUUGAAAGUUAAACAUCCUAUGAUAAAACAAAAAUAUGGAAAACCGUAUACAUGUACUUCCGUCCCAUCUUUCCUUCCUACAUUACUUGCGACAGUACUGCAUUUUUAGUUGAAAUAACUUAAAGGGUAAACAUUAUUAAAUCGAUUUCCACAACUCGAGGUAAUUUUUGAUAAAAUGACAUCACAAAACGAACAGAACCAGAAUCAACCAACAAUAUAAAAAAACGAAUAAAACUUGCAAAAAUUAAACGAAGUCAAAAACCCUCUUCGACGCCGCAUGUUAAA
rnacentral:lncRNA from 1 species